AGUGAACGCUGGCGGUAGGCCUAACACAUGCAAGUCGAACGGCAGCACAGUAAGAGCUUGCUCUUACGGGUGGCGAGUGGCGGACGGGUGAGGAAUACAUCGGAAUCUACUUUUUCGUGGGGGAUAACGUAGGGAAACUUACGCUAAUACCGCAUACGACCUACGGGUGAAAGCAGGGGAUCUUCGGACCUUGCGCGAUUGAAUGAGCCGAUGUCGGAUUAGCUAGUUGGCGGGGUAAAGGCCCACCAAGGCGACGAUCCGUAGCUGGUCUGAGAGGAUGAUCAGCCACUGUGGCACUGAGACACGGUCCAGACUCCCACGGGACGCAGCUGUGGGGAAUAUUGGACAAUGGGCGCACGUCUGAUACAGCCAUACCGCGUGGGUGAAGAAGGCCUUCGUGUUGUAAAGCCCUUUUGUUGGGAAAGAAAAGCAGCAGGUUACUGCCCCGAUGUUCUGACGGCCCCCAAAGAAUACGCCCCGGCUCUCUUCG
rnacentral:rRNA from 1 species